GACGAACGCUGGCGGCGUGCUUAACACAUGCCAGUCGAACGGAAAGGCCCUGCUUUUGUGGGGUGCUCGAGUGGCGAACGGGUGAGUAACACGUGAGUAACCUGCCCUUGACUUUGGGAUAACUUCAGGAAACUGGGGCUAAUACCGGAUAGGAGCUCCUGCUGCAUGGUGGGGGUUGGAAAGUUUCGGCGGUUGGGGAUGGACUCGCGGCUUAUCAGCUUGUUGGUGGGGUAGUGGCUUACCAAGGCUUUGACGGGUAGCCGGCCUGAGAGGGUGACCGGCCACAUUGGGACUGAGAUACGACCCAGACUCCUACGGGAGGCAGCAGUGGGGAAUAUUGCACAAUGGGCGGAAGCCUGAUGCAGCAACGCCGCGUGCGGGAUGACGGCCUUCGGGUUGUAAACCGCUUUCGCCUGUGACGAAGCGUGAGUGACGGUAAUGGGUAAAGAAGCACCGGCUAACUACGUG
rnacentral:rRNA from 1 species